rnacentral:rRNA from 1 species
UACGGAGGAUGCGAGCGUUAUCCGGAUUUAUUGGGUUUAAAGGGUGCGUAGGCGGGAUGCCAAGUCAGCGGUAAAAAUGCGGUGCUCAACGCCGUCGAGCCGUUGAAACUGGUGGUCUUGAGUGGAUGAGAAGUACGCGGAAUGCGUGGUGUAGCGGUGAAAUGCAUAGAUAUCACGCAGAACUCCGAUUGCGAAGGCAGCGUACCGGCAUCCAACUGACGCUGAGGCACGAAAGCGUGGGGAUCAAACAGG